rnacentral:rRNA from 1 species
AGAUGCUUUGGUGCCUUCGGGAACUCUGAGACAGGUGCUGCAUGGCUGUCGUCAGCUCGUGUUGUGAAAUGUUGGGUUAAGUCCCGCAACGAGCGCAACCCUUAUCCUUUGUUGCCAGCGNUUCGGNCGGGAACUCAAAGGAGACUGCCAGUGAUAAACUGGAGGAAGGUGGGGAUGACGUCAAGUCAUCAUGGCCCUUACGAGUAGGGCUACACACGUGCUACAAUGGCAUAUACAAAGAGAAGCGACCUCGCGAGAGCAAGCGGACCUCAUAAAGUAUGUCGUAGUCCGGAUUGGAGUCUGCAACUCGACUCCAUGAAGUCGGAAUCGCUAGUAAUCGUAGAUCAGAAUGCUACGGUGAAUACGUUCCCGGGCCUUGUACACACCGA